ensembl:snRNA U4 U4 spliceosomal RNA
AGCUUUGUGCAUUGGCAGUAUCGUAGCCAAUGAGGUGUAUCCGAGGCGUGAUUAUUGCUAAUUGAAGAUGCAAGUACAGCUUGAGCAUCUCUUAUCUGAAAUGCUUGGCACCAAACAUGCUUCAGAUUUUGGAAUUUUUUUAGAUUUUUGGAAUAUUUGCAAAUUAAUUGGCUGA